AGCAGCCGCGGUAAUUCCAGCUCCAAUAGCGUAUAUUAAAGUUGUUGCAGUUAAAAAGCUCGUAGUUGAAUUUCGGGGUCAGUAGGUCGGUCGUGCCUACGGUAUGUACUGGUCUCACUGAUUCCUCCUUCUUGAAGAACCGUAAUGUCAUUAACUUGGUGUUGCUGGGAAACAGGACUGUUACUUUGAAAAAAUUAGAGUGUUUAAAGCAGGCCAUCGCCUGAAUACAUUAGCAUGGAAUAAUGAAAUAGGACGUUCGAUCCUAUUUUGUUGGUUUCUAGGAUUGACGUAAUGAUUAAUAGGGAUAGUUGGGGGCAUUAGUAUUCAAUUGUCAGAGGUGAAAUUCUUGGAUUUAUUGAAGACUAACUACUGCGAAAGCAUUUGCCAAGGAUGUUUUCAUUAAUCAAGAACGAAAGUUAGGGGAUCGAAGACGAUCAGAUACCGUCGUAGUCUUAACCAUAAACUAUGCCGACUAGGGAUCGGAUGAUGUUAAUUUUUUAAUGACUCAUUCGCGCCUUAC
rnacentral:rRNA from 1 species